rnacentral:rRNA from 1 species
AUUGAACGCUGGCGGCAGGCCUAACACAUGCAAGUCGAACGGUAACAGGAAGCAGCUUGCUGCUUUGCUUUCGAGUGGCGGGCGUGUGUGUAAUGUCUGGGAAACUGCCUGAUGGAGGGGGAUAACUACUGGAAACGGUAGCUAAUACCGCAUAACGUCUCAAGACCAAAGAGGGGGACUGUCGGGCCUCUUGCCAUCGGAUGUGACCAGAUGGGAUUAGCUAGUAGGUGGGGUAACGGCUCACCUAGGCGACGAUCCCUAGCUGGUCUGAGAGGAUGACCAGCCACACUGGAACUGAGACACGGUCCAGACUCCUACGGGAGGCAGCAGUGGGGAAUAUUGCACAAUGGGCGAAAGCCUGAUGCAGCCAUGCCGCGUGUAUGAAGAAGGCCUUCGGGUUGUAAAGUACUUUCAGCGGGGAGGAAGGGAGUAAAGUUAAUCCCUUUGCUCAUUGACGUUACCCGCAGAAGAAGCACCGGCUAACUCCGUG